GAGGAACGCUGGCGGCGUGCCUAAUACAUGCAAGUCGAGCGAACAGACGAGGAGCUUGCUCCUCUGACGUUAGCGGCGGACGGGUGAGUAACACGUGGAUAACCUACCUAUAAGACUGGGAUAACUUCGGGAAACCGGAGCUAAUACCGGAUAAUAUAUUGAACCGCAUGGUUCAAUAGUGAAAGACGGUUUUGCUGUCACUUAUAGAUGGAUCCGCGCCGCAUUAGCUAGUUGGUAAGGUAACGGCUUACCAAGGCAACGAUGCGUAGCCGACCUGAGAGGGUGAUCGGCCACACUGGAACUGAGACACGGUCCAGACUCCUACGGGAGGCAGCAGUAGGGAAUCUUCCGCAAUGGGCGAAAGCUUGACGGAGCAACGCCGCGUGAGUGAUGAAGGUCUUCGGAUCGUAAAACUCUGUUAUUAGGGAAGAACAAAUGUGUAAGUAACUAUGCACGUCUGGACGGUACCUAAUCAGAAAGCCACGGCUAACUACGU
rnacentral:rRNA from 1 species